rnacentral:sRNA from 1 species
UUCUUGCUUGAAGGUUCGCGGCUUGGGC